CAAAUGAAAUGCUUCUGUUGCACACCUUGAGAGACAUAAAGGACCUGUUCGAGGUCUUGAAUUUAAUUCUAUUGCACCAAAUCUUCUUGCAUCUGGGGCUGAUGAUGGUGAAAUUUGCAUAUGGGAUUUGGCCAAUCCUUUGGAGCCCACUCAUUUUCCGCCACUCAAGGGUAGUGGAUCUGCUAGCCAGGGGGAAGUUUCAUUCUUAUCAUGGAAUAGUAAAGUCCAGCACAUUUUAGCAUCAACAUCUUAUAAUGGGACCACUGUGGUCUGGGAUCUAAAGAAGCAAAAGCCAGUGAUAAGCUUUUCAGAUUCAGUUAGAAGACGGUGCUCAGUUUUACAGUGGCAUCCUGAUAUUGCCACACAGCUUGUUGUU